rnacentral:rRNA from 1 species
AUUGAACGCUGGCGGCAGGCCUAACACAUGCAAGUCGAGCGAGCGGCGGACGGGUGAGUAAUGUCUGGGGAUCUGCCCGAUGGAGGGGGAUAACUACUGGAAACGGUGGCUAAUACCGCAUACUAUCGGAUGAACCCAUAUGGGAUUAGCUAGUAGGUGGGGUAAAGGCUAACCAAGGCGACGAUCCCUAGCUGGUCUGAUAGGAUGACCAGCCACACUGGACCUGGGACACGGUCCAGAUUCCUACGGGAGGCAGCAGUGGGGAAUAUUGCACAAUGGGCGCAAGCCUGAUGCAGCCAUGCCGCGUGUAUGAAGAAGGCCUUAGGGUUGUAAAGUACUUUCAGCGGGGAGGCGUUACCCGCAGAAGAAGCACCGGCUAACUCCGUGCCAGCAGCCGCGGUAAUUC